rnacentral:misc_RNA from 1 species
AUGGAUUGUGAUGGGAGCUGAUGCUGGUGGUCAUUUCUUGGCUGCAUUGUGCUCGCUUCUUAGCAAUAUUUGUCCAAACACUUGUGCACCUUAUGAGGGGUUUCCAGGUUGAUCUUGGAUUACCCUUUCACACACCCUAAUAUUUCAAUGUUGAACGUGUAUGUGCCAUCAUGGCCUUAAUAUAUAAUA